UUCUACGGCCAUAUCACCCUGAAUGCGCCGGAUCUCGUCUGAUCUCGGAAGCUAAGCAGGGUUGGGCCUGGUUAGUACUUGGAUGGGAGACUGCAUGGGAAUACCGGGUGCUGUAGGCU
ensembl:rRNA 5S_rRNA 5S ribosomal RNA